AGCGGAGGAAAAGAAACCAACCGGGAUUGCCUUAGUAACGGCGAGUGAAGCGGCAAAAGCUCAAAUUUGAAAUCUGGUACCUUCGGUGCCCGAGUUGUAAUUUGGAGAGGGCAACUUUGGGGCCGUUCCUUGUCUAUGUUCCUUGGAACAGGACGUCAUAGAGGGUGAGAAUCCCGUGUGGCGAGGAGUGCGGUUCUUUGUAAAGUGCCUUCGAAGAGUCGAGUUGUUUGGGAAUGCAGCUCUAAGUGGGUGGUAAAUUCCAUCUAAAGCUAAAUAUUGGCGAGAGACCGAUAGCGAACAAGUACAGUGAUGGAAAGAUGAAAAGAACUUUGAAAAGAGAGUGAAAAAGUACGUGAAAUUGUUGAAAGGGAAGGGCAUUUGAUCAGACAUGGUGUUUUGUGCCCUCUGCUCCUUGUGGGUAGGGGAAUCUCGCAUUUCACUGGGCCAGCAUCAGUUUUGGUGGCAGGAUAAAUCCAUAGGAAUGUAGCUUGCCUCGGUAAGUAU
rnacentral:rRNA from 1 species